AUUGAACGCUGGCGGCAUGCCUUACACAUGCAAGUCGAACGGUAACGCGGGGCAACCUGGCGACGAGUGGCGAACGGGUGAGUAAUGUAUCGGAACGUGCCCAGUUGUGGGGGAUAACUGCUCGAAAGAGCAGCUAAUACCGCAUACGACCUGAGGGAGAAAGCGGGGGAUCGCAAGACCUCCCGCAAUUGGAGCGGCCGAUAUCAGAUUAGGUAGUUGGUGGGGUAAAGGCUCACCAAGCCGACGACCUGUAGCUGGUCUGAGAGGACGACCAGCCACACUGGGACGGAGACACGGCCCAGACUCCUACGGGAGGCAGCAGUGGGGAAUUUUGGACAAUGGACGCAAGUCUGAUCCAGCCAUGCCGCGUGCGGGAAGAAGGCCUUCGGGUUGUAAACCGCUUUUGUCAGGGAAGAAAAGGCUCCUUCUAAUAUAGGGGGCUCAUGACGGUACCUGAAGAAUAAGCACCGGCUAACUACGUGCCAGCCGCCGCGGUAACAC
rnacentral:rRNA from 1 species